GGAUUAGAUACCCUGGUAGUCCACGCCGUAAACGAUGAGAACUAGAUGUCGGGAGGGUUGCCUUUCGGUGUCGCAGCUAACGCGUUAAGUUCUCCGCCUGGGGAGUACGCCGGCAACGGUAAAACUCAAAGGAAUUGACGGGGACCCGCACAAGCGGUGGAGCAUGUGGUUUAAUUCGAUGCAACGCGAAGAACCUUACCUGCCCUUGACAUACUCGGAACUUUCCAGAGAUGGAUUGGUGCCUUCGGGAAUCGAGAUACAGGUGCUGCAUGGCUGUCGUCAGCUCGUGCCG
rnacentral:rRNA from 1 species